ACUAAGGAUUUGUGUUAGCUGUUGUAUUCCUCUAUGGAGUGUCCCUUUGAAAUUGUUCCAUUAUCUUAUUUGGUACUGUAUAACUGUUAUCUCUUAUAACCGCACUUGCUUUCUCUAUGUCUCUGUCUCUCAUCAACGACCCCACUUACAACCCCUAUGCUUCAUAUUGACAUAUCGUACUGUAUUAUUUUUUCUUUGUUUCUUAAGAAAUUGAACAUUAAAAUGGAUGGAGGAAGUAGUCAAAUAAAAAAGAAAAAAUCCGUUAAAAAAAAAAAUCGAGUAAAUACGGAAAGAAUAAAAAGGGGAGAGAAGAAAGUCAUUUUGCCGCCAUAGUAGCAGCAGAAGAAAAUCUCAACAUUCGCCAAAUACUUUCAGUACACUCUGCUCAUUCUCUCUCCUGUUCUCGUGUCUUCAAUUCGAAGAUACUUAUUCAAAUUCACCUUGAAAUUUUUUACAUGGAAGAUGAGGAUUGACAAUUGAAAAUGGGUGAUUGUGGAAGGGAAGGUUACAAGAAUCGUGUCGACUUUGUCGCAAGUCAAUAAUGUUAUUGAAAUCCCGAUGUAUUUCUGUACAAUAAAGAAACAGAUGGAAGCUAAGGAUGAUAGUGGAUAUAAACAUGUAUGGGAGAUCUGUGCAGAUGUGAGGUUGAUUUUCAAGAAUGCUAUGAAAUAUACUAAUGAAAAGAAUGAUCUACAUGUCAUGGCAAGAACCUUGUUGGCAAAGUUCGAAGAAAAGUGGCUACAGUUUUUACCUGAGUUGUGGAAAAGGCAGGUUGCUGUUGCAGGAUAAUAGACGAUAAGAAGAGGAAGCUGAUGUACAGCUAAGCAUGCAGCUGCUCAAGAGUCUACUUAUGCCAAAAUGACUUGGGAUAUAAGCAACGAGGAAAAUGUCAGCAGAAGAGGAAAGGCAGGUUGGCGUAGCCCUCACAAGUCACAAGGCUAUCCACUGAUGAUCUCAGUGGGGCACUAGAGAUUGUUGUCCUGAGCAAUCCUGGUUUUGUAUUAAAUGCGCUGAGGAGGUGGACCUCGCUAUAGAUGCUCAGGUAGUCUUUUUCUGGAUAUAUUGUCUGCCCCACAGGCUAGCUUCUUGUCAGAUCAUUUUAGGAAUGUUUUUCCGUUGACAUAUAGAGUGAAUCCACAUUAUGGAGGCUACAAUUCUAUAUAAAAGUCGCACCGCAAGCUCAAGGCAAGCCUGCAGCAAGCAUGGGUGGCAACUAUAGCGAUAACAAUGAAACAAUAAACGAAAGAGAGACUGAGAGAGGUCUGCAAUGCCAACCAGGCUUGCCAAGAAGUGUAAGAAGGGGAGCAUAAGUGACACUCAAGGUUUGAACUUCAAAAUGUUAUUACAGCCCUCAGGUAUCUGGAAAAAGAAUUGUAACACUAUGAAAAAUGGAACCGAAACUUGAGAGUGUAUGGAGUAUAUCCCUAACUAUAUACUAUUGUUUAUCCGGACUGGUUAUGUUCGGGAGGUUCUUCAAGAAGGGGUUUAUCAGCGAACUCUGUUUCUAUAAUGGAAGGAACCACCUCCCUAUCCAGGGACUAUGGCCAUGUAAGGCAGCAGGAACCUGCUGAGCCAUCCCGACUUAAUUGUGAACACCAUUAUUUUCUCAUAAUGCACAACCUAUUAGAUUAACAAACUCCAUGUACGUUGUCACCUCGAAUGUUAAAUACAGAAGCUUAAUACAGAGUAUCAUACAGGAAGGUAAUCUCACAAGGAAUUUCGAUAUCAGCAAGAUCAAGGUUUUUAGUGUUACAAACUUUUUCAGAUGUAACAUUUAAUUAUGUUAUGAUUCUUUACUUGUUGUAAUACAGCAUAAUACACCAAAAGUUUGCCAAUAAUAUAAGUUGAUAUUAUGAAUGUUUAUAAUCAAAACCUCUUUAUACA